UACAGAAUCCUCACUGUAAACUGGAGAAACUGAGGUUGUAUAAUUGUGGCAUCAGAGAUGAAGGAUGUGCUGCUUUGGUUUCAGCUCUGAGAUCAAACCCCUCACACCUGAGAGAACUGGAUCUGUCUGGAAAUAAACUGCGAAAAUCUGAAGUGAAGUUACUCUCUGAUCUGAAGGAUGAUCCACAUUACAAACUGGAGACAUUAUGCUAUUGACUAUCAGUAUUUAGACAUCAGUCCAGUUUCCUCAGGAUCAGCUGAUGGUGAAUAAGGAGCCGCUACAGAGACAUCACAGUCACACAAUCAACAGAGACUGCGUGAUUGGGACCCCAUAAAAUGAUGUUAAAAAAGGAUGUUCAUUUGGGGUUCAUUUUUCUGACCGACUCCCAAUGCUCGUUAACCAUUCAUUGACUGUUAACCGACAAAAUUAGAAUGUUCAUUUAGAUUUAAAUUAAAUUGGAAUGGAUAAGUUUAU